GACGGAGGGUGCUAGCGUUGUUCGGAAUCACUGGGCGUAAAGGGCGCGUAGGCGGCCAGGCAAGUCGGCUUGUGAAAGCCCGGGGCUCAACCCCGGAGGUGCGGCCGGGACUGCUUGGCUGGAGGCCGGAAGAGGAGGGUGGAAUACCCAGUGUAGAGGUGAAAUUCGUAGAUAUUGGGUGGAACACCGGUGGCGAAAGCGGCUCUCUGGUCCGGACCUGACGCUGAGGCGCGAAAGCGUGGGGAGCAAACAGG
rnacentral:rRNA from 1 species